AUUGACCAGAACUGGUGGGAAGAAAAUUAAAAGGAUUGAAUAUCUGAAUGACCAAACAGCAAACAAUAUUAUUAACUGAUUAGAAUGGUCAGUUAAAAUAUGGCCUUGUUUUAUUAACUUUACAACAGAAGCCCACGAAGAAUCACAAAAAAGUAAAUUUAUAUAUUUUUUUAACACGACAUAAAUUUAUAUGUAUAGUCUUUUUUUUGCAUUUUAAGUGAGUGAGUCGUGUCCUUUACAUUUGGAGUACAGAAAUAAGAUGUUAAGAGCUCAAGAGAACUUCACUGUGCUUACCACCAUCUUCCAUUCUUAUCCAAGACUUAAUAGAAAAGGGCUGCUCAGUGAUCUCCAGAAUCCUAGCUCCUCUGGGCCAAUUUCCAUAACCACCAUAACCAGUAUGCCUCGCAAAGCAUAGCCAUAGUUUCUCGUAGGGGCAACACCAGUCCAAUCCAUGGUUGUGUCCCACAAAUAUUGCCUUGACAGAAGGCCUUUUAACAAGAAUGUGCAUAAUACCAAAUUCAGCUUCUUGAGCAGCAACUUUUUCCUUGUUGAUAGAGCCUACACAAGGUUUGUGUAUAGCAAACCAAGGAGCCACUUUCUUAUAUGCUGUACUUGGUAUAUGCCAAAAGAUAAUCUCAGGAACACUUGAAUCAGGGUUAAUUUCUUGAUAUUUGUGCUGGAACCAUUCUGCUUGAGCACUUGAUAUAACUUCUGGAUAGGAACCGCCACCAGAAUCUAGGAAGUACAUGAUCAGAAUUGUUGAUUCUGGAUCGCUGGAGGAUGCAACUUGGAGGACAUAGUUGGAUACACUUGGCCAUAGAUUUUUAGGUCCAUUUUUUGAAAAUGAUAAGCUAGCAUGCUCAAUCUCAUUUUUCAUCAGCUCUAUGCGUUGUGUACCUCUGAAGCUACAGUAUUCUUCUGCUGAAUACGAUGAAUUGGUUGCAGGGCAAUGACGUGGAGGAAUUCCAGGGGCUGAAAACCACUCCAUUGGCCACUCAAAUAGUGCAUCAUCGUGAUUUCCAAAAACACUGGCCCACGGUAUACCCCUGGCCUUUGUAGGAGAGAUUGCUUGAUCCCAAUACAAAGUGGCAUUUUCAAUUGGCAUAUUGUUGGCAGUAAUGACAUCUCCAAGAUAUAUUACAAAAUCUGGUGUUUCAUGGUCGAGUACAGUGGACAUGACCUUGAUGGAGUUCACGUCCUGUUGCGGGCCCCAAUCAGUCCAGGCGUCCUCCCCGAAAUGCAGGUCGGCGAACAGCGCAACCUUGAACGAUCCGCCGCCGUUGACACGAAGGCCAUUGUCCUUGGGCUGCGACGUUUUCAGCCUGAUCGGCGAGGUAGGGGUUGAUUGGAAGAGAAUAGAGAGAAAAGUGCAGGACAGCACGGUGAAAUGAAGAAAACGCUGUUCCAUAACUAGAGUCUACAAGCGGAGAACGGAGGACAUAAAGCUGUUGGCGUGAAGUAUAUAGAAGGUCUGUACGUCACUGCCGUUUGAGCUGAA
rnacentral:misc_RNA from 1 species